CCUACGGGAGACAGCAGUAGGGAAUCUUCCACAAUGGGCGAAAGCCUGAUGCAGCCACGCCGCGUGGAUGAAGAAGGCCUUCGGAUCGUAAAACUCUGUUGUUAGAGAAGAAAGUGCGUGAGAGUAACUGUUUACGUUUCGACGGUAUCUAACCAGAAAGCCACGGCUAACUACGUGCCAGCAGCCGCGGUAAUACGUAGGUUGCAAGCGUUAUCCGGAUUUAUUGGGCGUAAAGGGAACGCAGGCGGUCUUUUAAGUCUGAUGUGAAAGCGUUCGGCUUAACCGGAGUAGUGCAUUGGAUACUGGGAGACUUGAGUGCAGAUGAGGAGAGUGGAACUCCAUGUGUAGCGGUGAAAUGCGUAGAUAUAUGGAAGAACACCGAUGGCGAAAGCAGCUCUCUAAUCUGUAACUGACACUGAUGUUCGAAAGCGUGGGUAGCAAACAGGAUUAGAUACCCGAGUAGUC
rnacentral:rRNA from 1 species